UUUCAGAGUCAGGGUCUCACUCUGUUGCCCAGGCUGGAGUGCAGUGGUGCAAUCACAGCUCGUUGCCAUCUCGACCUCCUGGGCUUAAGCGAUCCUCCACUCAGCCUCCCAAAUAGCUGGGACCACAGACGUGUGCUGCCUUGCCAGGGAUGGUGAUUGCUCACACCAAAGCCUUGGACCCCUCCCAGCCUGUGACCUUUGUGACCAACUCCACCUACGCAGCAGACAAGGGGAUUUGGAGUCCAGCCUUCCAGACCUGAUCUUAUACACCAGCCUCGCUUUACAUCAUGCUGCAAAAUCCUCAGGCAAAUAUUUAUGGUGACUCUGUUAAGCUAGAGAUGGAUCUUCUAUUUAUCCUUGAUUGAAUUAUUCAGAGUGUCAUAAACUAUACCUGGUCCCUGGACAUCUGACUCAUACAUAAAAGCCACUGGUUACAAUGGAAAUUGAUUAGGAAAAUGAUGUUAUAAUUCUCAGCAUUACUGUAAGAUGAAGUCUCGCUCUGUCUUCCAGGCUGGAGUGCAGUGGUGCGAUCUCGGCUCACUGCAACCUCUGCCUCCCGGGUUCAAGCAAUUCUUCUGCCUCAGCCUCCCGAGUAGCUGGGACCACAGGAGCGUGCCUCCAUGCCUGAAGACCAUUGUUCCUCUCCUCAAGCCAGAACCAAAAGACUUUUCCUCAAGCUGACAGGCAAGCCAUGCUCACUCCCACAUCUCAAGCUGCAUUGAGUCCAG
rnacentral:lncRNA from 1 species